ACUCCAAGUUUCUGUCUAUAUUGUUAAUAGCUACUUGCCAAGAUCCCUGUUGCCCCGUGUGAUUACAGACUAUUAAAAACAUGUCUUCUGUGAAGUCCUCCCAAGAAACAGGAAACGGCGUUAAGGGAAUGAUUCUAGAUAAAAUAACUGGCAACAUAAACGUCACAAGUUCUGGUGUUAUAAAAGGAAAUUAGAGAAGCACAUAAACAUUUUUAUUUGAAGAGAAGAUCUACUAAUUGCCUAUCAUGUGCUGCGGAUGCAAGUUGAACUAGGGAAAAGCAAAGCCAAGACCAUCAUUGGAGAUGAGAAAAGAUUAAGAUCAUGCCGCGAUGCCUUCGUCUGUCUCAUAAUCUCUUUUCAAACAAAAACCACAAAGAACAAGCUGAAGAUUCAUUUUUUUCCUUCCACUUCACAGGUUCUUUUAAAAUUCAGUCUGAAAUUUUAAAAAUACUGCUUUAUUUUCUGAAAUGUUCAUGCAAGAUACAUGUUGUCUAAUAGAGGAUGCCCCAAACCUUCAUCUGUUACAUUCUGUAGCCAGCUAAGCAGAUAUAUACAAUGAAGAAUGAACCGAGCUAGACUUCAGAAUUAAUGACCUUCUGUGAGGAUGACGAAAAGCUGGGGAGCCUUGUGCCUGAGGGCUGUGACCUUUUACAAGAGCACCUCAGAGCUGAGGAUGAUGCUUCAUGAAAAUUUCUGACCAAGAAAAUACAUGAACAUUACAAAGGUUCACAUCUAUUAUUUCAAUAUUCCUAACAACUUCCUGAGAGGUAAGAAGCACUGAAUGGUGUGCCUAUUUGUGCUUAUUUGUUUAUCUGCUUGUUUGUUUGUUAAGACAAGUUCUCACUGCAUUACCCAGACUAGUCUCGAACACCUGGGCUCAUGGAUUUCUUCUUCUUCAGUCUCCCAAGUAGUUAGGGCUAUUCAUCACGCAUAACAGCACCCAGCUUCCGCACUGUAAAGUGCUUUUAAAUAAUAGAUGUGUGUA